AGCUCAGACAGAAGAGGCGACGUUGCUUUCUUAACCACUGGAUUUGCAGUGCUGUGGUUCUCAGAAGAGGCCAGGACAGGUUAAUCCGCUCGCUUGGGAGUUGAAUGUACAGCUGGUAUAAAAAUGGUGCUUUGUAGUCAUGAAGAAGGUGUAUUCUGGGAUCAAACCACCUGGCUGGAGAUGCUUACGACCUUACCUUUCUAAAAGAAUAAGAAGAUGAUACAUAUUCCUCUAAAGUCCCAACA
rnacentral:lncRNA from 1 species